UACGUAGGUGGCAAGCGUUGUCCGGAUUUACUGGGCGUAAAGGGCGUGCAGGCGGUCUGUUAAGUCUAGGGUGAAAGCUCCCGGCUCAACUGGGAGAGGUCCUUGGAUACUGGCGGACUUGAGGGAGGCAGAGGAAAGUGGAAUUCCCGGUGUAGUAGUGAAAUGCGUAGAUAUCGGGAGGAAUACCGAUGGCGAAGGCAGGUCUCUGGGCUGACACUGACGCUCAUGCACGAAAGCGUGGGGAGCAAACAGG
rnacentral:rRNA from 1 species